GCAAAUGUCAGGACACCUAUUUUAAAGAAGGUACACACACACACACGAACGCGCACAUGCACACGCACAACGAUAAAAAGUCCAUAAACCUCAAAUUGCCUGCUACUUCCAUUUAGGGCUGCCAUUUAUAAUGCUGCCUUUGACGAGUGAUGUAUAAUGUAUGACUGAAAAUGGGCUCUGAACAGUCCGGGAACGACUCGUGUUCACUCAAGUGUGUGUUAGAUGAGGUGCAGAUGUGCUUCGACGGGAAGAUGUCGUGAAUGAUGAAUGAACAGGUGGAAAUAAAGAAGAUGCUGGUGUUCCUGUCCAGUCAACCACUUUAUCACUCCAGGGACAUUGAAUGCAUCUUCAUCCUCAACUGUUCCAUCUGGGGUAAUUCGAAAUAAGGAGCUCGUCUAUUCUCCCACGCCAAUGACUUUGGAAGAACUUGAAGGGUGAAUACGAGAAGUUAUGUCUUCCAUCCCACAAGAGGAAAUCAGUUAAUGCGGUUCCCAGGCGGCUUGAGAAACUGGUGGCUAAUGCUUGGCGCCCAUUUCGAAUUUUAAAUAAAACU